UCAUGAUGAACCUUUUCUAGAUGACGAGUCUUAUUCAGUCAACCUGAUGCAGACAAACACAAACUACCAUUCAUGCAUUUCCUGAAA
rnacentral:snoRNA from 1 species